UGGGGAAUAUUGGACAAUGGGCGAAAGCCUGAUCCAGCCAUGCCGCGUGGAUGAUGACGGCCCUAGGGUUGUAAAGUCCUUUCGACGGGGAAGAUAAUGACGGUACCCGUAGAAGAAGCCCCGGCUAACUUCGUGCCAGCAGCCGCGGUAAUACGAAGGGGGCUAGCGUUGCUCGGAAUCACUGGGCGUAAAGCGCACGUAGGCGGCUUUCUAAGUCAGGGGUGAAAUCCUGGAGCUCAACUCCAGAACUGCCUUUGAUACUGGAGAGCUUGAGUUCGGGAGAGGUGAGUGGAACUGCGAGUGUAGAGGUGAAAUUCGUAGAUAUUCGCAAGAACACCAGUGGCGAAGGCGGCUCACUGGCCCGAUACUGACGCUGAGGUGCGAAAGCGUGGGAGCAAUCAG
rnacentral:rRNA from 1 species